GGAGGGUUGCCCGAGCGGCCAAAGGGAGCAGACUGUAAAUCUGCCGGCACUGCCUUCGAUGGUUCGAAUCCAUCACCCUCCA
rnacentral:tRNA from 1 species